GCGGGAAUAGCUCAGUUGGUAGAGCACAACCUUGCCAAGGUUGGGGU
rnacentral:tRNA from 1 species